rnacentral:misc_RNA from 1 species
GAUGAAGAACGUAGCGGAAUGCGAUAAGUAAUGUGAAUUGCAGAAUUCAGUGAAUCAUCGAGUCUUUGAACGCACAUUGCGCCCCCUGGUAUUCCGGGGGGCAUGCCUGUCCGAGCGUCAUUGCCGCCCUCAAGCACGGCUUGUGUGUUGGGCCCCCGCCCCCCGGCUUCGGGGGGCGGGCCCGAAAGGCAGCGGCGGCACCGCGUCCGGUCCUCGAGCGUAUGGGGCUUCGUCACCCGCUCUGUAGGCCCGGCCGGCGCCCGCCGGCGACCCCAAUCAAUCUUUCCAGGUUGACCUCGGAUCAGGUAGGGAUACCCGCUGAACUUAAGCAUAUCAAUAAGCGGAGGA